rnacentral:rRNA from 1 species
GACGAACGCUGGCGGCGUGCUUAACACAUGCAAGUCGAACGGAAAGGCCCUGCUUUUGUGGGGUGCUCGAGUGGCGAACGGGUGAGUAACACGUGAGUAACCUGCCCUUGACUUUGGGAUAACUUCAGGAAACUGGGGCUAAUACCGGAUAGGAGCUCCUGCUGCAUGGUGGGGGUUGGAAAGUUUCGGCGGUUGGGGAUGGACUCGCGGCUUAUCAGCUUGUUGGUGGGGUAGUGGCUUACCAAGGCUUUGACGGGUAGCCGGCCUGAGAGGGUGACCGGCCACACUGGGACUGAGAUGCGGCCCAGACUCCUACGGGAGGCAGCAGUGGGGAAUAUUGCACAAUGGGCGGAAGCCUGAUGCAGCAACGCCGCGUGCGGGAUGACGGCCUUCGGGUUGUAAACCGCUUUCGCCUGUGACGAAGCGUGAGUGACGGUAAUGGGUAAAGAAGCACCGGCUAACUACGUG